rnacentral:tRNA from 1 species
GGAGACGUAGUCUAAUUGGCAAGGCGUCGGUCUUGAAAACCGAUGAGGUAACCCCUCGUGUGGGUUCGAGCCCCACCGUCUCCGCCA